rnacentral:rRNA from 1 species
UGAGGAAUAUUGGUCAAUGGGCGAGAGCCUGAACCAGCCAAGUCGCGUGAAGGAAGACUGCCUUAUGGGUUGUAAACUUCUUUUAUACAGGAAUAAAAAGGCUUACGUGUAGGCCAUUGCAAGUACUGUAUGAAUAAGCAUCGGCUAACUCCGUGCCAGCAGCCGCGGUAAUACGGAGGAUGCGAGCGUUAUCCGGGUUUAUUGGGUUUAAAGGGUGCGCAGGCGGGCUUUUAAGUCAGCGGUGAAAUCUGGACGCUUAACGUCCAAACUGCCGUUGAAACUGGGAGUCUUGAGUAUGGAUGAAGUAGGCGGAAUUCGUUGUGUAGCGGUGACAUGCAUAGAUAUAACGAGGAACUCCGAUUGCGUAGGCAGCUUACUAAGCCAUAACUGACGCUCAUGCACGAAAGCGUGGGGAUCAAACAGGAUUAGAUACCCUGGUAGUCCACGCCGUAAACGAUGAUUACUAGUUGUAUGCGAUAUGAUAGUAUGUGACUAAGCGAAAGCGAUAAGUAAUCCACCUGGGGAGUACGCCGCAACGGUGAAACUUAAAUGAAUUGACGGGGUCAUAGCU